GUCCAUGUACCACAGGCCUUAUUUAGCAUCUCUGCCAAACCGUCAUUGGCUGAGGUGCUGGACCACUGGACGGAUCCAGAGCUUUAGCUGGACCAUCAGCCAGUUGCACACUGUGUAAUCGGAGGUGUGAGGGAUGCACACCACAGCUUCCAUGCUCAUGGUGACCGUUAAAGCACUGCAAAAGCCCUCUGAACCUCAGUUCAGAAUGGUAACACAGCCAGCGGGGUUAUCUUAAAUACAAAGUAGGAUGUAGACCAGUAAGAUAUUAAAUGAAGUAAAUAAAUGUGUAAAUCACUAGAACAUGGCCAUAAUAAAUGACCAGUCUGUGCUAGCCCGUGGUUAGUUUUAGAUAGCUUUUUUUUUUUUUUUUUUUUUUGUCUGAACAAGGCCAAACCCAGUUCCUUGUUAGUGGUAAAAAAAAGUAGGGGAAUACUUGAGCAUUAGACAUCACCAGCAUUGGGAGUGGAAAUGUCGACAUUAUCCCCCAACGCUGCUCUCUCUUUGUUAUUGUUGCCCUGGACAUCACCAAGAUGAGGGACAUCAGUAUUCCCUUGGUCAGUCUGGAUUUUUCGGGUGAGUCUUUCUUACACCAUUGAAGCAGGAGUGGUUCUGAGGCGGCCAGUGUGAUCUGAAGGGCAGCGUGCCAUCUGCAGCUGGAUAAGAAACUUACUCCACAUGUAAAUCGGCCCUAUCAGUAAACAGUGCUCUGCUCGGGAGCUGCUUUUUUUCACUUAUAGAGGGCAUUUUCGGUGAAGGAAGCAAUAUGUUUGUUGGUACUUCAUCAUGAGUUCCUUGUUUGCUGCGAGUGCUCUCUAAGAGCGGUUGGUGCUCCAGUCUAGGUUGUUACACACAAGCAGAGCUGGAUUGUAAAGUUACAAACCAGCUUGUGGGGUUCCUGACUGGUGUUCUGCCUGCCUGCAUGUUGAAGGCCUCCAUUCAGUGCAUGGGACAGUCAUGUUACUGGUAAGGACACUGGUAUCCUUGUCAUCCUUCAGCACCAGGGCCUGUGAUCCUAUCUCAAAGUCAGCAUUCUGUCACAGUUUUCAAGUCCAUUUCCGGGUCCGUUCUUUUGGUGGUCCAUUCAUCAGCAUCUCUGGAGCUCUUGCUGCACGCCAGAGACGUGUGCCUGGUGAUGACCGUGCACCCUUCCGUUCUGCCUAGCCACAUCCACUCUGCACAGGCAUUGCAGCAGACUCCAAGAGUGUAGCCUGGCUUAAGUAAUACAAAAGAAACAUGGCGCCUGCUUAUGGAUGUAUGCUGAAGAUUGUGGCCCGUUACUGCUACUGUCUAAGACAUUUUGAACCGUGAGUGCCCUCCUUAGAUCCACAAGCCUACAUUUUUUUUAGUUCUUUUCACUACAUAUUCCAGAAAUACUGGAUAUCAAUCCAUAACAGUGCCCCUCUCUACAGUGGAUGCUGGAAUUUCCCAUGGUUCUUCACUUCUGUGACUUUCUUCCCUGGAAUGGCCUUGGGCAGGGAGCCGUGAAUCCAGGAGGCUGCUCAGGGCCCCUUCCCUUGUACAGGGAUUUGAGGUACUGGCUAUAUUUUGUUUUUAAUUGUCAGCAUCCUUUCCUGUUUGAAAUUGAUUCAGUGGAGAUUUGCAGUGUUUUUUCUGUGUGUUCCCAGAUCUAUGCUAGCUUGUUAACAUGAUGUAGUAGACCAGGAAUAUCCAGUUUUGCUUUCAUACUCUUAAAAACUAAAGUGCAUGUUUCAUAAAGCUAAAGGGUCCCAAGAGCCAGUUAAUAUAAAGCAAUAUUUUUCCAAGGUCAGAAGUGAUUUAAAUAUGAAAGAUCAUAUUUUAUCAUAAGCAUAACAGGCUUAACAAAAUCUAGACAGACAAAUUGCUAGUUUAGAAAUGAUCUGAACUUACCCAUCCCCCCACCCCCC
rnacentral:lncRNA from 1 species